CAACCUGCCCUUCAGAGGGGGACAACAGUUGGAAACGACUGCUAAUACCGCAUACGAUCCAAUCUCGGCAUCGAGGAUGGAUGAAAGGUGGCCUCUAUUUAUAAGCUAUCACUGAAGGAGGGGAUUGCGUCUGAUUAGCUAGUUGGAGGGGUAACGGCUCACCAAGGCGACGAUACAUAGGGGGACUGAGAGGUUAACCCCCCACACUGGUACUGAGACACGGACCAG
rnacentral:rRNA from 1 species